rnacentral:rRNA from 1 species
AUUGAACGCUGGCGGCAUGCUUUACACAUGCAAGUCGAACGGCAGCGGGGAGGAGCUUGCUUCUCUGCCGGCGAGUGGCGAACGGGUGAGUAAUACAUCGGAACGUGUCGAGAAGAGGGGGAUAACCACCCGAAAGGGUGGCUAAUACCGCAUAAAUUCUGAGGAAGAAAGCUGGGGACCUAGGAAUAGGCCUAGCGCUUUUUGAGCGGCCGAUGUCGGAUUAGCUAGUUGGUGAGGUAAAGGCUCACCAAGGCGAAGAUCUGUAGCGGGUCUGAGAGGAUGAUCCGCCACACUGGGUCUGAGACACGGCCCAGACUCCUACGGGAGGCAGCAGUGGGGAAUUUUGGACAAUGGGGGCAACCCUGAUCCAGCCAUGCCGCGUGUAUGAAGAAGGCCUUAGGGUUGUAAAGUACUUUUGUUAGGGAAGAAAAGUCAGCUGUGAAUAAUGGCUGAUACUGACGGUACCUAAAGAAUAAGCACCGGCUAACUACGUG